ensembl:lncRNA
GGUCGCCCGGCCUCUGUGCGGCUCUAGGUGCUGCCCUGGGAAGGGCUGCCCCGGCCGCGGGCCGGACAUCCUCGGUCCAAGCUGAGCAGAUGAAAGCAGAAGCGAGGUCCGCCGGCCUGGAGCUGAGUGUUUUCAAAAACUAGACUGGAUGGGAGAAAGGAGCUCCGGUCUGCUUUGAGAGCGGGGAGCAAAACCUCGGCUGCCCACCUGGGAGAAGCUGACAUCUCCCACGGACCCUGCAAAGCCUGGAGGCUGCUGAGCCCCUUCGGGGGAUGCUCAGAAGGGGGAAAACGGUUUCCGCACACCCGGCGCGACAGUUAUCAAGCAAACCUCUACUGCUGUGAAGUCGCUGUGGGCGUGAUGCUUUCAGGGUAUCCUCUGGCCUCGCCGAACGGUGGAGGGAGGCGGCAGGUGGAAAACGUGGCGAGAGAGCUGGCAUCACUUGACUGGAAGCUUAUCUUCAGUUAUUUUAACGGAGGUGCCAAUCUCCGCUCCCCUGAGGGUCACGAGUCUUGUGUGUUUCGCUUUGUUUGGGCAGCACGGGCCUUACUGCACUGAUGGUCAUCGUAACAAGAUCACAGCAAUGUGGUUAACAACAAUUACACCCACGGACGAGGAAAAUACACUGAGCCAGUGAUGCCAUCCAGCCGUGGACAAAACACACAGCCUGGAGACCUGGGAUCGCGCUGACUGAUCACAGGCAUAGUCUAAACGAGCGGCGGUGGACCCAGCGCCGUCGAGGUCUAAACAGGCCCCGACCCCCUUUGUCUUUCUACUGGUGGCCCCGAAGGGUGGAAUGGAUGAGGAAGUAAAGCCCGCACAGCUCACCGUUAGACGCACAAAGCAGCGAACGGCCAGCCCGAGCAGCUUGCAAACUUGCCAAGCGACCUCCAACGUGGGACUCGGGGCUUUGAGACGGGCCAGCUGUGAUGCUGCCGGUGAGCUCACAGGUGCUGUCAUCCUUGAAGGCGCCCAUCCGCAUCCUCCACGCUGCCCACGAACGGCUCAGAAUCGAGCUCUCCCCAGUCAACGUGGGGGGCCUUUAACCUACAUCUUGGGAUGAUGCCCUGCUAAUCUAGCAUUCUCCUCCAAGUUCAGAAAUUGGUUUCUGGUGAAUACUUCCAGCUUCCACAGGACCUUGAUUAAAAACCCCUCCCUCCUUUACUUACAGUCAACAUUGGUAAAGACACUCUCUGACUCUUGCCUUAUAUGUCUCCCUUAAAAUGACAGUCCUCUCAUCACUAACAUAGCAGAUUUCAGGGGCGUCAAACCCUGUAGAUCAUGCCUCCUCCUAGGUGUCUAACGGGAACCCCCAGAACAACCAGUCUGGGCACCAACAGGCCGCAUGUCAUCACCAAGUUCCCAGAUGCUGCACAGCGCUUAUGGGCUUGAGAUUUAAAAGCCAUCAAUCAAAAAUCACCUUCCACAUUGCUCUGAUCUUAUUUGUUCAAAAGAGAUGCCACCCGUUACUGCAUUUCAGUUGAUAUAAUGCCAGUAAAGUGGAUGUAUAAAAAAGCGAUUCCUAAGAGGUGGAGUUGCCCUUGAUAGCAAUCACUAGAGGUCCUCUUCCUGCUUUCUGUACCUCCUGGCUCCGGUGCUGUGACCACCCCACGCCCUGGACGCUGUGUGUCUGACACCUGCAUCUCGGGAGUCGGGCCGCAGCAGGCACACGGGCACGGACUCGGGGGUGUGCUUCUGCACCCAAGUCCUGGUUCCGCCCCUCCUGAGCUCUGUGUCCCCCAGCCCAGGAAGUCCUUUAACCGUUUUGUGCCUCAGUCUGCUCAUCUAUAAAAUGGGAUGGCAAUUCCCACCACCAAAGGUUAUUAGGAACCACAAGGGAAUUAAUGUUUGCACAGCACUUAAAACAGCACCCAGGACUCCCCUGGUGGCCCAGGGGUUGGGACUCUGAGCUUCCACUGCGGGGGGCUUGGGUCUGAUCCCUGAUGGGAAAACUAAGAUCCCUCAUGCUGC